rnacentral:rRNA from 1 species
AGCGAACGCUGGCGGCAGGCCUAACACAUGCAAGUCGAACGGCAGCACAGUAAGAGCUUGCUCUUACGGGUGGCGAGUGGCGGACGGGUGAGGAAUAUAUCGGAAUCUACUUUUUCGUGGGGGUUAACGUAGGGAAACCUACGCUAGUACCGCAUACGAUCUACGGGUGAAAGCAGUGGAUCUUCGGACCUUGCGCGAUUGAAUGAGCCGAUGUUGGACUGGUUAGUUGGCGGGGUAAAGGCCCAGCCAGGCGACGAUCCGUAGCUGGUCAGAGUGGCGGGUCGGCCACACGGGAGCGGGACCACGGUCCAGGGUACUACGGGAGGGAGCAGUGUGGAAUAUUGGGCAAUGGGCGCGAGCCUGGUCCAGCCGUACGGCGUGGGUUGAGGAGGCCUUCGGGUUGUAAAGCCCUUUUGUUGGGAAGGAAAAGCAGCAGGUUAUGACCCCGCUGUUCUGACGGUACCCAAAGAAGAAGCACCGGCUAACUUCGUG